rnacentral:sRNA from 1 species
CACCCCAUCAGAACCACUCGAUCAUCACUCGAUCACUCGAUCUGCUCGUUUUGCACUCAACCAGACAAGCUGAGAACGAAGAAGAGAAGAGAAGCCGAAGCAUCCACUCGAUCACCACCUCAUGACAUCCACUCGAUGACAGGGUCGCUGGACCAUUCAAUCUCGACUUCACUACAUCUCGC